GACGAACGCUGGCGGCGUGCCUAAUACAUGCAAGUAGAACGCUGAAGGAGGAGCUUGCUUCUCUGGAUGAGUUGCGAACGGGUGAGUAACGCGUAGGUAACCUGCCUGGUAGCGGGGGAUAACUAUUGGAAACGAUAGCUAAUACCGCAUAAGAGUAGAUGUCGCAUGACAUUUGCUUAAAAGGUGCAAUUGCAUCACUACCAGAUGGACCUGCGUUGUAUUAGCUAGUUGGUGAGGUAACGGCUCACCAAGGCAACGAUACAUAGCCGACCUGAGAGGGGGAUCGGCCACACUGGGACUGAGACACGGCCCAGACUCCUACGGGAGGCAGCAGUAGGGAAUCUUCGGCAAUGGACGGAAGUCUGACCGAGCAACGCCGCGCGAGUGAAGAAGGUUUUCGGAUCGUAAAGCUCUGUUGUAAGAGAAGAACGAGUGUGAGAGUGGAAAGUUCACACUGUGACGGUAUCUUACCAGAAAGGGACGGCUAACUACGUG
rnacentral:rRNA from 1 species